UACGAAGGGGGCUAGCGUUGCUCGGAAUCACUGGGCGUAAAGCGCACGUAGGCGGCUUUCUAAGUCAGGGGUGAAAUCCUGGAGCUCAACUCCAGAACUGCCUUUGAUACUGGAGAGCUUGAGUCCGGGGAGAGGUGAGUGGAACUCCGAGUGUAGAGGUGAAAUUCGUAGAUAUUCGGAAGAACACCAGUGGCGAAGGCGGCUCACUGGCCCGGUACUGACGCUGAGGUGCGAAAGCGUGGGGAGCAAACAGGG
rnacentral:rRNA from 1 species